CUGCCUUCUUUGACUUAAUAUAUACUAAACUUACAAUAUAUUAACUAAAGAUUCUUUUGCAGUGGAAAGCUUACUGAAGAUUUUUAAAACUCUGUGUUUACCUGGACUGGGCACUCAUUUCACAUAGAGAGCAAAACAUUUGUGAGGCCCCAUGAGCACAGUAUUUCAGGUGACCCACAAUUCAUGGAAUUCAACAAGAAAGAAAACAAAUACAAGGGUCAUCCUUAAUAUAAAUCCUGGACCCCAGACUUCUUACCUUCUCUUCUGAGGAACGCAACCUGUGACAGAGAAUAACUGAUCCUUUAUUGAUGAGAGUCUGGGUCACUCCAGCAGGACCAGAGUACAAGAUUAAGGAGAUUGAUGUUCCUCCAUGUUAUGUUAACUGUGGACCAAACAAAAUACCUUUCUUCUUCUGCCUCCUUGGGCACUGAGAUGCCACAGAAGCUGUAAAGGUUCAGAAGCUUGGAUAGGGCAUUGAUCUUUUAAAACACUCUCAUCAUCACGGAGCAAACCAAACAAAUUCUCUCUCUUGUAUGUGAAGCCAAAUGGGGUAUUAACUGCUACAGGAUCAGAAAAUCAUUUCCAACAAAGACUAUUCAAAAGGAUAUUCACAGAUAAGUGGCGUUGCAUAUCAUAAUUCAAGUCUGCAUUUCAAGCUGAGGAAGAACUAAAGUAAGCUAGAAGAAUCUCUUCUUUAGGACCACUGAGAGUUUAAAGAGUCUCUGGAGACACAAGAUCAUAAAAUUAUUUCACAGUGA